AAGAAGGAAGCCGUGGAGAAGCUUACGGGGGAGUACAGCGCCCUCCAGAAGGAUCACGAAGACGUGAAAAAGAAGUUGGAUGGGGCCAAAGCCAGAAACCAAGUCUUGUCCAGCGAGGUGAAGACGCUGAAGGAACAGAUCUCCACCUUGCUGGAUAAAGGAAAACAUGACGAUGAACUCAUUGAUGCCUUGUUGAGCCAGCUGAAGGACAUGCAGGUCAUCUUGAAGAACCUGAGCCAGCAGGACGAGCGGAGCAAGGAGUGUCGCCAGAGUCUGGGCCAGCAGCUGAACCUGGAGGCGCAGAAGCAAAACUCCCUCAUAGAACAGCUGAAGCGGAUGGUGGCCGAGCGAGAAGCCCAGGUGCAGGAUCUGGAGAAGAGGAUCGAGCAGCUCACGACGCAGCAUCGUCUUCCUCAAACUGAGGACAGCAGCUCUGACUCCAUUUCUGCAGAGUCUCUGGAAGGGGAGGAUUGCCUUUCGGCUCCCAAGAAACAUGGCCUCAGUGGAAGGAACAGCUCUGGCCGAACCGUCUCCAAGAUGGGGCACACCCUCGUGGAUUCUGCAGCUCCAUCGGUUCCAUUCAGUGUCUCUCCUGAGAGGUUUGUGCGCUCUCUUGCUCGCUCGCUCUCUUUCUGUGUCAGAGACCCUGUCUCUCCUGAGAGGUUUGUGCGCUCGCUCGCUCGCUCGCUCGCUCUCUUUCUGUGUCAGAGACCCGUGGCUGAAACGACACCACCACCACCACCCCCCGGCUUGGUCUGGGGCUCCCUCUCCUGCUCCAAAGGUUACCGGAUCCCUUGCACAAUAGAUCUAGGGGAGGCAAAGGCUGCCAAUCCUCGCUGCAGGCUCCCCGGAGUGUGUGGGACCAGGUGGGGUUCGAAUGGCCAGCCGUCACUCAAUCAAUCUCCGAGGGAACCGAGGUGGCCCCCGUAG
rnacentral:lncRNA from 1 species